GCACCUAACAUGGCUGCCGCCGCCUCAGUGCCCGCUCCCUCCGUGCGCCUGCGCCAUGCAGCGCCAUGCAGCGCGCUGCGCGGGCCGUGGCCGCGGCGCUGCUCCGGGCCGCUCCGCCAUGGCGGCCCCGCCGCCCCCCGCCGCCGCUCCGCACGGCCCCGCUCCGCACGGCCCCGCUCCGCACGGCCUGCAGCGCCGCCGCCCCGGGGCAGCCGCGGCCCGCGCACUAUCGCCUGGUGUACACCUGUAAGGUCUGCCAGACCCGCUCGGCCAAGACCAUUUCCAAGCUGGCGUACCACAGCGGCGUGGUGAUCGUCACCUGUCCGGGCUGCGGGAACCACCACGUCAUCGCCGACAACCUGGGCUGGUUCUCCGACCUGCAGGGGAAGCGGAGCCCGGCAGACCUUGCUUUAGCCAGAGACGAGGGACCGGGAAGAGGAGACCCAGCUUUUCUCCUGAACCGGAGGUUUGUCAGGAUGGGGAAGAAGUGCGGUGAAGUCCUGGAGCAGGGGACAGCGACGGGAGGUGCAGCCGACCAGGGGGUCCUGCACUGGGGCAGCACCCUGUGCUGCAGUAACUCGCAGGUUACAGCUGCUACAGCAGCGUUCUGCCAUCCAGGGCUGAACAGCGAGUCCUGGCGAUCUCGCGUCCCUCUGGUGGGUGUCAGCACCAGAGAGCACAUCCCUCUGGCCAGGAUUGGCACUGGAACGGCCUCGUGUCUGCUGCCGCGGGUACGGCAGAGCAGCGACCAUUGCGGGUCAGUUGCAGCCAUUGCCUCCUGCUCACAGAGCCUUUCUGUUUUGUAGGUGCUCUGGGAGAGGGAACAUGACUGGAGAGCCUGUGCUCCCUUCCCCAGCUGCUGAGGACAGCGAGAGCUCACAGGGUUCAGGAUCCAAACUCUGCUGCUCUCAGACCCACUUGCUGGCAAAGCCUAAGGGCCUGCCCACCCCUGCUGUGCCGGACCGAACUCACGCUGCCGCCGCUGCUUUAAAGAAGAAAGUUGAGCAAGACAUUCCAGGCAAGGAUCCAGAGCAGUUUGUGUCACCUCGAGAUGCAGGCAAGACUUCCACGUGGAAAAGGUGCUCUUCCCUUUCCCCCUUAAAUCAAAAAUGUUGUGGAAAUAAAAGGCUGGAGUUAAGUA